GAAAAUUCUCGGUACACAAACGAAUAAUAUCUAAUAUGCCAACAUGAUACAGAUUUUGCAAACCAGUCGCCUUGUAGCUCUUUAUGUAUUACUGUUAACACCCAACUGUCUGAUGCGGAAAAAUGAUGAAACAGGAUUGUUAAAUGAUGCUACUCUUCAGCUGUCUAGAUUUACUCUCUGCUCCUCCUAUCUGCUGAAUUAUGUCGAGCUCUACCUGGAUUGCGUUGAUCAAAUCGAGUGUCGCUUCUGUUUCCAGAUCCCCUGGUUCUAAU
rnacentral:misc_RNA from 1 species